rnacentral:lncRNA from 1 species
ACUUGACAAACUUGGGAAACCCAUCAGACAUCCCCCUAGCGAACCCAGGCUGCGUCUGAACCCUAACCUUAACAGCUUCAAACGGACAAAGCGCCACAUCGGCAAUCACCUCAGCGGAAGCAGAACCAGCAAGGUAGAUAAGCGUCUUGUACUUGGCAGCAAACUCAGGUCCAGCGAGAUCAGAGUAGUACUUCUUGAAAAACUCGUAGAACCCAAACUUGCAAGCGCCCUGAGCACUGUAACCCAACAGAGUAGGCACCCAUCCACGGAAAAAGCCUCUCACUCCUUGCUCCUUCAACAGAAUCCCAAAGCCAGACGAGAUGCUCUUGUACUUGGCCGGAUCAAUCUAUAAUAGAGGUUGAAGAACACCGAAGAGAAAUGUAAAGAAUGAUACUAAACCGGACUAAACCAAGCUUAAAUUAUAUGUGCAGUAUAACCAAUUUAAACCGGCUAAUAAUCUUAGAUCACGGAUCUAAAACCAACAACCUAGAUCUAAACACGUGGACGCGGAUCUAUGAAACGUACCUGCAUAUUGCACUUGACGAGAUCGAGAGGUGUGACGGCCAUGUGAGUGAGACCGCAGCUGAGAAUCCCACCGACGGUGCACGCGGCGUAGAAGUCGCGAGAGUACAUCUCGAUACCUUUCCCCGGCUCGGUGGGGGAGGCGAUGAGGAAGUUCUUGCGAGACGCCAUCGUCUUCGGAGAUGGAGAAGGAGAGUUCUUCUCGAGGUUGGGGGAUUGAAACGCGGCGUUUGAGUUGGAGUUAAUGACCUGGUCGAGGAGUACGGAUCUAGGAGAUGAGGAAGAGGAGUAGAGGAAGCUUGGGAUCAAAGAGUUCUUCGACGAUUCCAUCGCGGCGGAGGAGGGAGGAGAGAACGGAGAUAAGAUUCGCGGCUUGUGAAAUGAGUGUGGGUGCGGCGAUGGUCUGUAUCUCACGUUCACUUAGGGUUAUUACCACCAACUCUCAGUCUCUGUUCUUUAUUGGACAUCUAGAAUCCGUUGGAACAAGGCGUAUACUCUGCGAUAAUUACGUUCACCUCCCAAGCUCUCGGCGGUCACCAGAACGCCCACAAACGUGAACGCGCCGCUGCUCGCCGCAACCUCGGCGUUGUCGCUCAUGCUCCAUCCGUCAUCGAUGACCACGACGACGCCACUUUCUUCCGUUCCUCCUACCCGUGUAACUACUACUACCCUAACCCACCUCAAGGAUCCACUUCGGUUACCGGAUCGGCAUGGAACGUACCGGAUCAACAAACGAUGAUGGUGAUGGGUGGGUACGUCGACCCGUAUCCGUAUCCGUUUGCGUACCCAUUCGGAUUUGCCGGCGAUAUUGGUGGCGUGGAGGAAGAGGAGCCAGAGCUGGAUCUCUCUCUCCGUCUAUGAAGUUAGUUGUUACUUUUUUUCUGUUUUGUCUUGUUCAGGUGACUCUUUUAAGUACAACUUUGGAGCUACGUAGCCGUUUCUAUCUUUCUCUUUUUGUGUUCAUCUCCUACUUUUAAUAUAAACUACCUUUUUGAUAAUGAUCGUUACUAUUUAGUUUAUAAUCGAGCAUGGAUCAGUCUAUAUUUACAUGUUCAACUAAAUACUUCAAAGCGUUGAUGGAUAAUGCAUUUGAAAACAAACAUGAACUUGAUUUGUUUCCGAAAUAUAAAACAUCAAGUUGAAGAUGGACAAACACAUCACUAAUGAUUCGCUUGUUUUACGACCUUGAUUCGGAGACGACGACAGAUUCCGAUUAUGUCUCUAUCGGAAGUUCUACCACCGUCUUCCGAUAUGCUCUCUGCCCGUCUCCAUAAAGUUGGUACGUGUGCGGAAUCCAACAUCUCAUCAUCACCCACGUGACUGACUCACGUGACGCUCAUCUCAUCCAAAUCUAUUUUUUCCCCAAAUGAAACAAGUAAACUGCUUGCCGUUUAUAAGCGCCUCACACGACAACCACUUUUACCUCACCACAGCUACAAGGUUUUAUCUAUGUUAAAUAAAAAUGUAUAAUUCCAACGGCAAUGUGGUGGUGUUAGAGAUGAAACAUGGCAAAUUUGUUACAUACCAUUGGUACUGUAAAAAUGCAAUUUAUUGACCAAAAUAAUGCAAUUUAUUAACUUGAACGGGCCUUCUUUAAUUGGGCCCAUUAUCAGGCGAAAAACAUUGAGCCCAUCAUUGACUUUUUCCCUUCCGAGUGGUGGUAAUAACAUCGUCGUCCUCGUCGGAGGUUUCACGAGCUGAGGAAAAAUCAAUCGCAGAUCUGUUUCACCAUCUGCAUUUCCAAAUUCCAAACAACUAUGGCGAUCCCCUCAGCUAACCUUCUGAUCUCCGCCCUGACGAUCUUCAUCCUCGUCUCCGCUUCCUUCGCGACCUCGGAAACGCCGUUCCUGGUGGUCCACAAGAAAGCGACUCUCAACAGGCUCAAAUCCGGCGCCGAGCGAGUCCUCGUCUCCUUCGACAUCUACAACCAAGGAUCUGCGUAACCUCCUCUUCCCUCUCCUCUAGUUUCGCUUCGCAAUCCAUCUGAUUCACACGAUUUCGUUUCCGAUCCAAUCUAGUAUCUGAUCGUCUAUUUGCAUGAAGAGAUUAGCUAAUUUAUUAGACUCGUUAGAUCUAUAGAUAUGGAUCAGUGAUUUGGUGUUUUGAUCACAGGACGGCGUAUGAUGUGACUCUGACUGAUAAAACGUGGAUUAAGAAAACUUUUGAACUUGUUAACGGAAACAAGUCAAGAACAUGGGAGAGACUUGAUGCGUGAGUUUCUCACUCUUAUGGUAGCUAGCUCCUAGCUGCUUCCUUUUUUUCACUGAUGUGAUCUUUGUAUGUAGAGGAGGUAUCGUGUCUCAUUCUUUCGAACUUGAGGCAAAGGUUAAAGGACCUUUCUAUGGUGCUCCUGCUCUUGUUACUUUCCGCGUCCCCACAAAGGCGGUUCUACAGGUUUUGCCAUUUAUUUAUAAGCUCUCUCUUUGUGCUUCUUUUUAGAUGGAGAGAUUGAUUAUUACAGUAACCCAUUUUAUAAAUUUGUUUGUUUGUUUGUAGCAAGCUUACUCAACUCCAAUACUACCUCUAAACAUCCUCGCAGACAUACCUCCAAUGGACCCGUUGGCCCUGGUAAAUUUUGAUUUCUUAAAGUAUUGUUCUUUCAGUCAUAUCUUCUUCCUUUUCGUUAUUGACUUUUAUUGUUGUCUUGUGUUGUGCAUUGGAUGAUGCUGUAAUAAUAAUCUCAGGCCAAGGUAACUCGAUGUGCAAUGCAAUUCUCCCCUUCCUAUCAUCGAAGAUAACAAGUUCUUAACUUAUUGUGUUUUAAUUGUUGCAGAGGGUGCUGGCGAAAUAUGGAUCGCUUGUUUCAGUGAUCUCCAUGGUGGUUUUGUUCGUGUACUUGAUAGCAACACCUUCAAAGCCCAAUGCAGCAAAAGCUGGCAGCAAGAAGAAACGCUAAGUUCGUGUAAUGAAGUUCGGAGAGGUUGUUACUUUUGUUUUGUUGUGUCUAGCAGUUUAAAACGAAUUUUCAAAACAUGUAAGAAUCUUAGAACACACUUUAAUUUUCGUGUUGCAGAGUACUUUUCUUAUUAAGUUAUUUUGUUUUGCGUAAAAAGACUUCUCUUUGAGAGUAUAGUCAUGAAGGCCUCCUUUACUUUGAUUCUGCCUUCUUCUUUCGAUUGUCAUGUUUGUUGUUUACUUUAAUUGCCUUUUUGCUAUGUGUCCUGUUUAAUACCAUAGCCGUUUUGUAGUGUCUAAUCUGGUUAUUGGUUUGAUGAGUUUGCCUAUGAGUUUAUUUGUUAUGGGUUCUUAACUGAUGUUUGGAAAAGUAAUAGGUCCUAUGUGUAAAAUAUAAAGACCGAGCCUACAAGCUCCAUCUUGUCAAUGAUGAUACAUAAUUAGUAACUAGUAUUUACUAAUCACUCAAGUACAUUGAUUUGGUCAACCUAAUAGUUUUCCAAAUUAAUCUCACUAUAUAAGUGUAGACCCAUAAAACCGUUUUAAACGUUUUCACUGUUUGUCACCUUAUCUAACAUAACUCAUCAUGGUUACCAAAAACAUUCAAUUAUGGUAAUAUUCAGAAUCGGUAGACAGUUUGAUGCUUAAGUAUAUGAAGCAAAGCAAAAUAGUAACUCUUGCUGUAAUAGUAAAGUCGUAAUUUGGGGGAUCCAACCAAAAAUAGCAACAAAAGGAGAUUUUCAAAUUAAACAGAGCAAAAGUAGUAAAAAUGGAUGUUCCCACUAUCUCUAUCUUUGAGUCUGGGAACAAUCCUGAAUUAAGCAACACAAAUUUCAAAAAAAAUAAUAAUAUAUUGAAUCCGGAGGAUGAGCUCACUCUUCCUCAUCAUACGUUUUUUUUUAUUUGUUUCUUUCCAAACAAAAAUCCUAACCAUUUUCAUCAUCAUUUAAGUCUUUAGGCUUUGACGGCAGGGGCUGGAGUAACACCACCGGUGGUUGGCCUGAAUAAAAUUAAAAUAAUAUUAGAGUUUGCAGUUUUGGAAGUGGUAUUGAAAGAAAGAAAAUCAGAAAGAGGAUCUUACAGGCCAACAAAGACUUUGAAGGCAUCGUACAAACCCCACUGAGCUCCGGUCAAUGUCCCUAUCAUCACAAUUCUCAAAGGAAGCCCUCUGGUGAAUAGUCCCACCAUUCCAAUCUUCUUCACCGCCUGCAUCAACAUUUCAUUUCAUCAAAAAAAAGUCAUUACUUAUCCAACAUCAACACAAAUUUCAAUAAUUUAUAGCUUUCUUGUAUUACAGACACAGUAACUCACAUCUCCAACGGUUGCUCCCUUAGCGUUGUUGAGGAACGACACGAGAUUGUCAGCAGGGUGGGACACAAUAGCACAAAAAACUCCAGCAACAUACCCUCCAGCAAAACUAACCCCGAGCUGCAGACCUUUGCUGCACUCGUGCUUCGGGUUGGGGAUAGCAUACUUGUAAAUCAUCUCCACAAUGGUCUCAAACGAAGCAAACUUCAUCAUAGUGUCUGUCACAUUUCCAUAUAUCAUCAGCACAACGUAUUACGCCUCAAAGAAAAUAUAUAUAGGCCAAAACUUACAAGGAAUCUGACGACCCCAGAGAGGAGCAAGACCCUUAUACAACCUGCAUAAACAAAUAAAUAUAAGUAUCAGUACCAGACACUAAGCUGCAACAAGAGAGAGAACGAAAACGUAACUCACCCUCCGUAUCCUUCAGACUUGACAAACUUGGGAAACCCAUCAGACAUCCCCCUAGCGAACCCAGGCUGCGUCUGAACCCUAACCUUAACAGCUUCAAACGGACAAAGCGCCACAUCGGCAAUCACCUCAGCGGAAGCAGAACCAGCAAGGUAGAUAAGCGUCUUGUACUUGGCAGCAAACUCAGGUCCAGCGAGAUCAGAGUAGUACUUCUUGAAAAACUCGUAGAACCCAAACUUGCAAGCGCCCUGAGCACUGUAACCCAACAGAGUAGGCACCCAUCCACGGAAAAAGCCUCUCACUCCUUGCUCCUUCAACAGAAUCCCAAAGCCAGACGAGAUGCUCUUGUACUUGGCCGGAUCAAUCUAUAAUAGAGGUUGAAGAACACCGAAGAGAAAUGUAAAGAAUGAUACUAAACCGGACUAAACCAAGCUUAAAUUAUAUGUGCAGUAUAACCAAUUUAAACCGGCUAAUAAUCUUAGAUCACG